rnacentral:rRNA from 1 species
AGAAUCAACGCUGGCGGCGUGCCUAACACAUGCAAGUCGAACGAGAAAGUGGAGCAAUCCAUGAGUAAAGUGGCGACCGGGUGAGUAACACGUGACUAACCUACCCUUGAGUGGGGGAUAACCUAGAGAAAUCUGGGCUAAUACCGCAUAAUACCUUCGGGUCAAAGGAGCAAUUCGCUUAAGGAGGGGGUCGCGGCCGAUUAGUUAGUUGGCGGGGUAAUGGCCCACCAAGACUGUGAUCGGUA